CCUACGGGAGGCAGCAGUGGGGGAUAUUGCACAAUGGGGGGAACCCUGAUGCAGCGACGCCGCGUGGGUGAAGGAGUGCUUCGGCAUGUAAAGCUCUAUCAGCGGGGAAGAAGGAAGACGGUACCCGACUAAGAAGCCCCGGCUAACUACGGGCCAGCAGCCGCGGUAAUACGCAGGGGGCAAGCGUUAUCCGUAUUUACUGGGUGUAAAGGGAGCGUAGACGGCGUCGCAAGUCUGAAGUGAAAGCCCGUGGCUCAACCGCGGAACCGCUUUGGAAACUGCGUGGCUGGAGUGCUGGAGAGGAUAGCGGAAUUCCUGGUGUAGCGGUGAAAUGCGUAGAUAUCGGGAGGAACACCGGUGGCGAAGGCGGCUUACUGGACCGUGACUGACGUUGAGGCUCGAAAGCGUGGGGAGCGAACAGGAUUAGAUACCCCAGUAGUC
rnacentral:rRNA from 1 species